UACGGAGGGUGCAAGCGUUUAUCCGGAUUCACUGGGUUUAAAGGGUGCGUAGGUGGGUUGGUAAGUCAGUGGUGAAAUCUCCGAGCUUAACUUGGAAACUGCCAUUGAUACUAUCAGUCUUGAAUAUUGUGGAGGUCAGCGGAAUAUGUCAUGUAGCGGUGAAAUGCUUAGAUAUGACAUAGAACACCAAUUGCGAAGGCAGCUGGCUACGCAUAUAUUGACACUGAGGCACGAAAGCGUGGGGGAUCAAACAGG
rnacentral:rRNA from 1 species